rnacentral:rRNA from 1 species
AGCAGUAGGGAAUCUUCCACAAUGGACGCAAGUCUGAUGGAGCAACGCCGCGUGAGUGAAGAAGGUUUUCGGAUCGUAAAGCUCUGUUGUAAGUCAAGAACGGGUGUGAGAGUGGAAAGUUCACACUAUGACGGUAGCUUACCAGAAAGGGACGGCUAACUACGUGCCAGCAGCCGCGGUAAUACGUAGGUCCC